rnacentral:rRNA from 1 species
UACAGAGGUCCCAAGCGUUGUUCGGAUUCAUUGGGCGUAAAGGGUGUGUAGGUGGCGCCGUAAGUCGGGUGUGAAAUCUCGGGCUUAACUCCGAAACUGCAUUCGAUACUGCGGUGCUUGAGGACUGGAGAGGAGACUGGAAUUCAUGGUGUAGCAGUGAAAUGCGUAGAGAUCAUGAGGAAGACCAGUGGCGGAGGCGGGUCUCUGGACAGUUCCUGACACUGAGACACGAAGGCCAGGGAGCAAACGGG